AACGCACAUUGCGCCCCUUGGUAUUCCGAGGGGCAUGCCUGUUCGAGCGUCAUUUCAACCCUCAAGCACUGCUUGGUCUUGGGCUCCGCCGCUAACCCGGCGGGCCUCAAAACGAGUGGCGGCGCCAUCGGGCUCUGAGCGUAGUAAAUUUCCUCGCUACGGAGUCCUGGUGACGGUGGCCAUCAACCCCCAACUCUCUCAGUUUGACCUCGGAUCAGGUAGGGAUACCCGCUGAACUUAA
rnacentral:misc_RNA from 1 species